CUUUGCUGGCGACCGGCGCACGGGUGAGUAACACGUAUCCAACCUGCCCUUUACUCGGGGAUAGCCUUUCGAAAGAAAGAUUAAUACCCGAUAGCAUAAUGAUUCCGCAUGGUUUCAUUAUUAAAGGAUUCCGGUAAAGGAUGGGGAUGCGUUCCAUUAGGUUGUUGGUGAGGUAACGGCUCACCAAGCCUUCGAUGGAUAGGGGUUCUGAGAGGAAGGUCCCCCACAUUGGAACUGAGACACGGUCCAG
rnacentral:rRNA from 1 species